rnacentral:rRNA from 1 species
AACGAACGCUGGCGGCAGGCUUAACACAUGCAAGUCGAACGCCCCGCAAGGGGAGUGGCAGACGGGUGAGUAACGCGUGGGAACAUGCCCUUUUCUACGGAAUAGCUCUGGGAAACUGGAAUUAAUACCGUAUACGCCCUACGGGGGAAAGAUUUAUCGGGGAAGGAUUGGCCCGCGUUGGAUUAGCUAGUUGGUGGGGUAAAGGCCUACCAAGGCGACGAUCCAUAGCUGGUCUGAGAGGAUGAUCAGCCACAUUGGGACUGAGACACGGCCCAAACUCCUACGGGAGGCAGCAGUGGGGAAUAUUGGACAAUGGGCGCAAGCCUGAUCCAGCCAUGCCGCGUGAGUGAUGAAGGCCUUAGGGUUGUAAAGCUCUUUCACCGAUGAAGAUAAUGACGGUAGUCGGAGAAGAAGCCCCGGCUAACUUCGUGCCAGCCGCCGCGGUAAAAC